rnacentral:rRNA from 1 species
UACGGAGGAUUCAAGCGUUAUCCGGAUUUAUUGGGUUUAAAGGGUGCGUAGGCGGCCAUGUAAGUCAGCGGUAAAAGCCCGGGGCUCAACCCCGGCGAGCCGUUGAAACUGGGGGACUCGAGUCGGAGAGAAGCAGGCGGAAUGCGCGGUGUAGCGGUGAAAUGCAUAGAUAUCACGCAGAACUCCGAUCGCGAAGGCAGCCUGCCGGCGCGCAACUGACGCUCAUGCACGAAAGCGUGGGUAUCGAA